rnacentral:rRNA from 1 species
UACGGAGGGGGCUAGCGUUGUUCGGAAUUACUGGGCGUAAAGCGCUCGCAGGUGGUCCGAUGCGUCGUGCGUGAAAGACCCCGGCUCAACUGGGGGGUGUCGUGCGAUACGGUCGGACUGGAGGCCAGUAGGGGGAUGCGGAAUUCCGGGUGUAGUGGUGGAAUGCGCAGAUAUCAGGAGGAACACCGAUGGCGAAGGCAGGUCUCUGGGCCACUACUGACGCUGAGAAGCGAAAGCAUGGGGAGCGAACAGG